CUCACUGGUCGAGUCGGCCUGCGCGGAAGAUGUAACGGGGCUAAACCAUGCACCGAAGCUGCGGCAGCGACGCUUAUGCGUUGUUGGGUAGGGGAGCGUUCUGUAAGCCUGUGAAGGUGUGCUGUGAGGCAUGCUGGAGGUAUCAGAAGUGCGAAUGCUGACAUAAGUAACGAUAAAGCGGGUGAAAAGCCCGCUCGCCGGAAGACCAAGGGUUCCUGUCCAACGUUAAUCGGGGCAGGGUGAGUCGACCCCUAAGGCGAGGCCGAAAGGCGUAGUCGAUGGGAAACAGGUUAAUAUUCCUGUACUUGGUGUUACUGCGAAGGGGGGACGGAGAAGGCUAUGUUGGCCGGGCGACGGUUGUCCCGGUUUAAGCGUGUAGGCUGGUUUUCCAGGCAAAUCCGGAAAAUCAAGGCUGAGGCGUGAUGACGAGGCACUACGGUGCUGAAGCAACAAAUGCCCUGCUUCCAGGAAAAGCCUCUAAGCAUCAGGUAACAUCAAAUCGUACCCCAAACCGACACAGGUGGUCAGGUAGAGAAUACCAAGGCGCUUGAGAGAACUCGGGUGAAGGAACUAGGCAAAAUGGUGCCGUAACUUCGGGAGAAGGCACGCUGAUAUGUAGGUGAAGUCCCUCGCGGAUGGAGCUGAAAUCAGUCGAAGAUACCAGCUGGCUGCAACUGUUUAUUAAAAACACAGCACUGUGCAAACACGAAAGUGGACGUAUACGGUGUGACGCCUGCCCGGUGC
rnacentral:rRNA from 1 species